AAUGAACGUUGGCGGCGUGGAUUAGGCAUGCAAGUCGUGCGGCAGCAGGCCCCGCAAGGGGUGCUGGCGAGCGGCGAAAGGGAUAGUAACACGUGGAUUACCUACCUCCCGGACGGGGAUAGCUGCGGGAAACUGCAAUUAAUACCCGAUGACGUCUUCGGACCAAAGGGGUGAUUCCGCCGGGAGCCGGGGCCGCGUCCUAUUAGCUAGUUGGCAGGGUAACGGCCUACCAAGGCUCAGAUGGGUAGCGGGUGUGAGAGCACGACCCGCAUCACUGGGACCGAGACACUGCCCAGACACCUACGGGUGGCUGCAGUCGAGGAUCUUCGGCAAUGGGCGAAAGCCUGACCGAGCGACGCCGCGUGCGGGAUGAAGGCCUUCGGGUUGUAAACCGCUGUCAGUGGGGAGGAAAUAUCAGAGGGAACACUCUCUGGUUUGACCUAUCCGCAGAGGAAGGACGGGCUAAGUUCGUGCCAGCAGCCGCCGUAAAAC
rnacentral:rRNA from 1 species